rnacentral:lncRNA from 1 species
CAGAGAGAAGGCUGCUAGUGACGAGGAGAGGGCAAGAUAACUUGCAAGGGCUCGCAAAGCGCAAGAUGAGGAUGAGGCACGUGACAAGAAAGGGAAGUGGCCUCGUGUUACCCAAUAAAUUUUUGACAUGAAAUUGUGACAUGUCAAAUUUGUGGUCUUCGAACCAUGUCCUUGAACUAAUUUGUGCUUUCUAUUCGAACUAAUUUGUGGUCUUUGAACUAUGUCUUCGAACAAUGUUGAAUGAAUUUGAGACUAUCAAUA